rnacentral:rRNA from 1 species
UACGUAGGGUGCAAGCGUUGUCCGGAUUUAUUGGGCGUAAAGAGCGUGUAGGCGGUCUGGUAGGUCCGUUGUGAAAACUCGAGGCUCAACCUCGAGACGCCGAUGGAAACCCUCAGACUAGAGUCCGGAAGAGGAGAGUGGAAUUCCUGGUGUAGCGGUGAAAUGCGCAGAUAUCAGGAAGAACACCCGUGGCUAAGGCGGCUCUCUAGUACGGUACUGACGCUGAGACGCGAAAGCGUGGGGAGCGAACAGG